GUAAUUCACCGCUGUCACAUUAAGUGCACCCACACUUAUUAUAUAUCAUUUUGUUCAGGAGAAACAGGGCUUUAAUUUAUCAUUAACUAUUCAUAUAUGGAACAUAAUUUAUUAUGAAUAAAAUUUUAAAAAUGUGAGAAAAUAAGUAAGAUUUUUUUUUAAAUUUGUAUUUCCAUCUGACAUUUUAGCUGUUAAUGUCAUAAU